UACGAGGGGUGCAAUAGUUAUUCGGAAUUAUUGGGCGUAAAGGGUGCGUAGACGGUUUGUUAAGUCGAUUGUUAAAUUCUCAGGCCUAACCGGAGGCUCACAGUCGAAACUGAUAAACUAGAGGUUGGAAGAGAGAAGUGGAAUUCUCGGAGUAGCGGUAAAAUGCGUAGAUCUCGAGAGGAACACCGAUGGCGAAGGCAGCUUCUUGGUCCAUGCCUGACGUUGAUGCACGAAAGCGUGGGUAGAAAACAGG
rnacentral:rRNA from 1 species